UGGGGAAUAUUGCACAAUGGGCGCAAGCCUGAUGCAGCCAUGCCGCGUGUGUGAAGAAGGCCUUCGGGUUGUAAAGCACUUUCAGCGGGGAGGAAGGCGAUAAGGUUAAUAACCUUGUCGAUUGACGUUACCCGCAGAAGAAGCACCGGCUAACUCCGUGCCAGCAGCCGCGGUAAUACGGAGGGUGCAAGCGUUAAUCGGAAUUACUGGGCGUAAAGCGCACGCAGGCGGUCUGUCAAGUCGGAUGUGAAAUCCCCGGGCUCAACCUGGGAACUGCAUUCGAAACUAGCAGGCUAGAGUCUUGUAGAGGGGGGUAGAAUUCCAGGUGUAGCGGUGAAAUGCGUAGAGAUCUGGAGGAAUACCGGUGGCGAAGGCGGCCCCCUGGACAAAGACUGACGCUCAGGUGCGAAAGCGUGGGGAGCAAACAGG
rnacentral:rRNA from 1 species